GUGGAAGGGGCCUGCCUCCCUGCAGGACAGGGUAGAGAUGGCCAACAAGAGUAAGCCUGCGGAAAGAGGGCUCAAGAUUGGAGGUAGCCCAGGGUCCUGUGGGCUCCGCUCACUAUGACAGCCAACAGCCUCUGAAGUGACACCUGUGGGAAGGGAGGAGAGAAGCUAUGUCUGGAGCAACACCGGCACCAUUCUCUACACAUCAAGCUUCUUAUGAUUGGAAAGGGGUCUACAACACAGUGAUAUUAAUGUUUGAAGAUGGCAUUGUUCCAAGGUGCAAAUCUAGCUGUCAUUGGCUACAAAAGCUCUGUGCUCAUGUCUCUGUAAGAACACAGCAUAGAAAGAAAGAAUCAGACUCCAUUCUGGUGGCUUAGGUCCCUCCUCAUGCCACUGUUCAGCCAUAGGUCCCCUCAUGAUUUUCAUUGUUCAAGUUUUGAAAACCCAGCCGAGGUAUUAUUAUCUUAAUCUUGGAAAAAUGAUUUUUGUAUCAUAGCAUAUUGUGGCAUAUAUAAUUUGAAAUACUUUGAAAUCAAGGAUUCAAGAUUAUUCAACAAA
rnacentral:lncRNA from 1 species